rnacentral:lncRNA from 1 species
UUUGGUCUUCUCCUCAGUAACCAGAGAAUCUUGUGAUCAAGUCCUUGUAGCCCUUGAACUGAUCCAGACCUAUUAUAUGCUUCCCAAAAUUUUCUUUAAUUUUUACUGAAUUCUGUUUCCUGACAUUGACCUUCAUUUGCUCUGUUUGUUCAAAACCUAAUUUAGACUGUUUAAGCAAUAACAAUCGAGGCUUUGGGCAAUUUCAGGGGAUUAAUGACUGAUCAAGAGGGUUGAUGGCCUGAGGCAAGGACUCAGGGCUAUUAACUUCAUCUACAGAAAAUGUAUCAGGAAAUGUUUUAGACUGAAGCUGUUGGCAGUCUGCAACUGUGCCUGAAUUGAGGGAGGGUCACUCUGUGGCAGAAACAAUUGCCUAUAAAGUCUGAAUGGGUUUAUUAAAAGAUACUAUUACAAUUUUGCUUUAUAGCAGCUCUAAAAGGCCUGAACUAAAAUGGGAAUAAGACAGGAAAGUGAAAAAUCUUGUUCUUCAGUGUGCUGUGUAAAAACAAGUUUACAGACAAUAGUCAGAUUGUAUGACCUGCCAGAGGUGAAAGAAGUUAUCUGCAAAGCAUGCAGAAUACUCACCUUUGGAGCUUUCCAAAUUUUGUCUGGAUAAGAACCUGAGCAACCUGCUCUAACUUCAGAAGUGGCUCUGCUUUGAUCAGGGACUUGGG